UACGUAGGGGGCUAGCGUUGUCCGGAAUCAUUGGGCGUAAAGCGCGCGUAGGCGGUCCGGUAAGUCCGCUGUGAAAGUCGGGGGCUCAACCCUCGGAUGCCGGUGGAUACUGUCGGACUUGAGUGCGGAAGGAGGCGAGUGGAAUUCCGUGAUGUAGCGGUGAAAUGCGCAGAUAUCAGGAGGAACACCAAUUGCGAAGGCAGCUCGCUGGGACGGUACUGACGCUGAGACGCGAAGCGUGGGGAGCGAACAGG
rnacentral:rRNA from 1 species